AUUGGAGCAGUCCCUUUUUUUUUUUUUUUUGUCAUAAAAUAAUUACAUUCCUAGCGAAAUAUGUAUAAAAUACUCUAUAUAUUUUAUUUUGUAUAAAAAAUGUAUAUUACUACUCUAGAUAAGUGUGAAUGAAGCACACAGGAGACGGUUGUCAUGUGUGCUUCCUCACAGGAGUAUUUCGGUCUUUUCAAACUUCAGCUAGGGGGCAUUAUGGUAUUUCCACUCGCUUAUUCUUGGUGGCCUUUUCAUAGCAACACACGUGGCCAGACAGCUGCUAUACCACUGAAUAAGCUGAGAAGAACACCUUACAUCUUCUCGGCUAUCAACCAUAUCCGCAUUUUCUCAAGCAUCCUUUCCAUUUUCAGAGAUGACGAAGUUGAGACUUAAUAAAGACUUGAACAAAAAAGUGCACAUACUGAAGCCUCCUUGCCUAAAUGUCUAUUGAAAUAGUUUCCUGGUUGCACAGUGCAAAUUGUGACUCAGCAUAAAUGUUCUUUACUUAUAUCUGGCAAAGAUGUGUUAUAAAAAGAAUAACUUGAACAGAAAAUAGAGUAAGAGUAACACUCAGUUAAGUGGUUUUCUUCUACGAAUUUUUCCGUUUGCAGUCACCUUCAAAUGCUUUUAUGACAUUAGUUAAUUAUAUUAUAUGAAGUUUCUACUGUUUGUAGUAUGCCUGCGCGUAAAAAGAUCAUCCCUAUAGCUUCUUCUUCGCACAAUAAAA